UACGUAGGCAGCGAGCGUUGUUCGGAGUUACUGGGCGUAAAGGGUGUGUAGGCGGCCGUUUAAGUUUGGUGUGAAAUCUCCCGGCUCAACCGGGAGGGUGCGCCGAAUACUGAAUGACUUCGAGUGCGGGAGAGGAGAGUGGAAUUCCUGGUGUAGCGGUGAAAUGCGUAGAUAUCAGGAGGAACACCGGUGGUGUAGACGGCUCUCUGGACCGUAACUGACGCUGAGACACGAAAGCGUGGGUAGCAAACAGG
rnacentral:rRNA from 1 species